rnacentral:tRNA from 1 species
GGAGAGGUCGCAUAGUCCGGUCUAGUGCGCACGAUUGGAAAUCGUGUAUCCUGCAAAGGAUCGCGGGUUCAAAUCCCGCCCUCUCCGCCA